AUGUUGUGCCUCACGGUUUUCAUUGCGCACGUCCUCAAGCGAUGGAUAGGCGGACCCAAUCCUGAUGUGGAUGAUCCUGCAAAGGAGGAGGGGAAAGGUGGAUCGCUCCUGCCGGCACAAGAAGACCAAGUGAGUUCAGCCGAAGAAAAUCUGGCAUCUGAGGUGUUAUUUUCAGUUGGGCAAUUAGAAGAACAGACAACUGAAUCACCAUCAGAUUCUCCUACCCCAGUAGCCAAAUUGAGGGACAAGCAUCGGCAAAGAUUCGUGACACAAAGAUCUGAAGCUCGCAUGAAAGCUUGCCACAGGGACAUUGGAUUUAAGAGUUCUAGGCAUUUGUUGGUUGCUGCUCCUAUAUAAUUUGUACCUAGAAGCAGUGGUGGGAUUCAGGUGGUUCGCACCGGUUCCACAGGACAGGUAUCUAAUGUACUAUCAGUUCUGUGGAACCGUUUGCUAACCUGCCGAAUCCCAACACUGCUCCCUCCCCCCACCCUCUCCCGCACCUCGUGAGCAAAGGGUGCGAGAGUGAGUGUGAGUGAGCGAGUGAGCCCUGUUGCGCAGCUUGGUCUGCGCACAAGCACCACCAGUGGAGGAGGAGGAUGGCGACCGAGAAACACGACCACCACCAAAGCACCACCACACAGGCACAUUUGAGGGAGAGGAGCACUGUGGAGCGGCACACACACCACACAGAGAGAGAAGGAGAAGCAACAGGAGGAAGAGGAGGAGGAGGAAUUGGAGGAAAAGGGGAGGCCACCCCGGACAGCCAACUGAGACAGAAGUAGCUCCAAACCAGCAUCCAACUCCACCUCAGUUCAUCUUUGUUCCCCCACAGAAAUGAAUGAAAUGUAUUGUGACUUAAAUCCCAUUGAUUUCAGUGAGAACAAAAAGUAUCUGACUAAAUCAGGAUAUAGCCUGAUGUAUAUGGUGGGGAAAAGAGUGUUUAAGGACAUAGAUUUUGUCAGUGAUAUCAAAACAUGAGAUAGCUGUCAAAAAGCUUGCCUCCUGAAACAGUUGUUUCUCAACAAGGGCUAGAAGCUUCUGUCCCUCCUUCUGAAUGCUCCAAAUUGAGUGGAUACUCAAGUCUGAUUACAGAGAAGAUUUUAACUGGGCAUGAAUAAAGUCAAAUAUGGGCAGAAAUGCUUCA
rnacentral:lncRNA from 1 species